GGUUAAGUUAGAAAGGGCGCACGGUGGAUGCCUUGGCACUAGGAGCCGAUGAAGGACGGGACGAACACCGAUAUGCUUCGGGGAGCUGUAAGCAAGCUUUGAUCCGGAGAUUUCCGAAUGGGGAAACCCACCACUCGUAAUGGAGUGGUAUCCAUAUCUGAAUACAUAGGAUAUGAGAAGGCAGACCCGGGGAACUGAAACAUCUAAGUACCCGGAGGAAGAGAAAGCAAAUGCGAUUCCCUGAGUAGCGGCGAGCGAAACGGGACCAGCCCAAACCAAGAGGCUUGCCUCUUGGGGUUGUAGGACACUCUGUACGGAGUUACAAAGGAACGAGGUAGAUGAAGAGGUCUGGAAAGGCCCGCCAUAGGAGGUAACAGCCCUGUAGUCAAAACUUCGUUCUCUCCUGAGUGGAUCCUGAGUACGGCGGAACACGUGAAAUUCCGUCGGAAUCCGGGAGGACCAUCUCCCAAGGCUAAAUACUCCCUAGUGACCGAUAGUGAACCAGUACCGUGAGGGAAAGGUGAAAAGCACCCCGGAAGGGGAGUGAAAGAGAUCCUGAAACCGUGUGCCUACAAGUAGUCAGAGCCCGUUAACGGGUGAUGGCGUGCCUUUUGUAGAAUGAACCGGCGAGUUACGAUCCCGUGCAAGGUUAAGCAGAAGAUGCGGAGCCGCAGCGAAAGCGAGUCUGAAUAGGGCGAAUUGAGUACGUGGUCGUAGACCCGAAACCAGGUGAUCUACCCAUGUCCAGGGUGAAGUUCAGGUAACACUGAAUGGAGGCCCGAACCCACGCACGUUGAAAAGUGCGGGGAUGAGGUGUGGGUAGGGGUGAAAUGCCAAUCGAACCUGGAGAUAGCUGGUUCUCUCCGAAAUAGCUUUAGGGCUAGCCUCAAGGUAAGAGUCUCGGAGGUAGAGCACUGAUUGGACUAGGGGCCCCUACCGGGUUACCGAAUUCAGUCAAACUCCGAAUGCCGAUGACUUAUCCUUGGGAGUCAGACUGCGAGUGAUAAGAUCCGUAGUCGAAAGGGAAACAGCCCAGACCGCCAGCUAAGGUCCCAAAGUAUACGUUAAGUGGAAAAGGAUGUGGAGUUGCUUAGACAACCAGGAUGUUGGCUUAGAAGCAGCCACCAUUUAAAGAGUGCGUAAUAGCUCACUGGUCGAGUGACUCUGCGCCGAAAAUGUACCGGGGCUAAACGUAUCACCGAAGCUGCGGACUGUUCUUCGAACAGUGGUAGGAGAGCGUUCUAAGGGCUGUGAAGCAAGACCGGAAGGACUUGUGGAGCGCUUAGAAGUGAGAAUGCCGGUAUGAGUAGCGAAAGAGGGGUGAGAAUCCCCUCCACCGAAUGCCUAAGGUUUCCUGAGGAAGGCUCGUCCGCUCAGGGUUAGUCGGGACCUAAGCCGAGGCCGAAAGGCGUAGGCGAUGGAUAACAGGUUGAUAUUCCUGUACCACCUCCUCACCAUUUGAGCAAUGGGGGGACGCAGGAGGAUAGGGUAAGCGCGGUAUUGGAUAUCCGCGUCCAAGCAGUUAGGCUGGGAAAUAGGCAAAUCCGUUUCCCGUGAAGGCUAGCUGUGAUGGCGAGCGAAUUAUAGUAGCGAAGUUCCUGAUUCCACACUGCCAAGAAAAGCCUCUAGCGAGGUGAGAGGUGCCCGUACCGCAAACCGACACAGGUAGGCGAGGAGAGAAUCCUAAGGUGAUCGAGAGAACUCUCGUUAAGGAACUCGGCAAAAUGACCCCGUAACUUCGGGAGAAGGGGUGCUCUGUUAGGGUGCAAGCCCGAGAGAGCCGCAGUGAAUAGGCCCAGGCGACUGUUUAGCAAAAACACAGGUCUCUGCGAAGCCGUAAGGCGAAGUAUAGGGGCUGACGCCUGCCCGGUGCUGGAAGGUUAAGAGGAGCGCUUAGCGUAAGCGAAGGUGCGAAUUGAAGCCCCAGUAAACGGCGGCCGUAACUAUAACGGUCCUAAGGUAGCGAAAUUCCUUGUCGGGUAAGUUCCGACCCGCACGAAAGGCGCAACGAUCUGGGCACUGUCUCAACGAGAGACUCGGUGAAAUUAUAGUACCUGUGAAGAUGCAGGUUACCCGCGACAGGACGGAAAGACCCCGUGGAGCUUUACUGCAGCCUGAUAUUGAAUGUUGGUACAGCUUGUACAGGAUAGGUAGGAGCCUUGGAAACCGGAGCGCCAGCUUCGGUGGAGGCAUCGGUGGGAUACUACCCUGGCUGUAUUGACCUUCUAACCCGCCGCCCUUAUCGGGCGGGGAGACAGUGUCAGGUGGGCAGUUUGACUGGGGCGGUCGCCUCCUAAAAGGUAACGGAGGCGCCCAAAGGUUCCCUCAGAAUGGUUGGAAAUCAUUCGCAGAGUGUAAAGGCACAAGGGAGCUUGACUGCGAGACCUACAAGUCGAGCAGGGACGAAAGUCGGGCUUAGUGAUCCGGUGGUUCCGCAUGGAAGGGCCAUCGCUCAACGGAUAAAAGCUACCCCGGGGAUAACAGGCUUAUCUCCCCCAAGAGUCCACAUCGACGGGGAGGUUUGGCACCUCGAUGUCGGCUCAUCGCAUCCUGGGGCUGUAGUCGGUCCCAAGGGUUGGGCUGUUCGCCCAUUAAAGCGGUACGCGAGCUGGGUUCAGAACGUCGUGAGACAGUUCGGUCCCUAUCCGUCGCGGGCGCAGGAAAUUUGAGAGGAGCUGUCCUUAGUACGAGAGGACCGGGAUGGACGCACCGCUGGUGUACCAGUUGUUCUGCCAAGGGCAUCGCUGGGUAGCUAUGUGCGGACGGGAUAAGUGCUGAAAGCAUCUAAGCAUGAAGCCCCCCUCAAGAUGAGAUUUCCCAUUCCGCAAGGAAGUAAGAUCCCUGAAAGAUGAUCAGGUUGAUAGGUCUGAGGUGGAAGUGUGGCGACACAUGGAGCUGACAGAUACUAAUCGAUCGAGGACUUAACCAA
rnacentral:rRNA from 1 species